UACGAAGGGUGCAAGCGUUGUCCGGAAUUAUUGGGCGUAAAGAGCUCGUAGGCGGUUUGUUGCGUCGGCUGUGAAAUCCCGAGGCUCAACCUCGGGUCUGCAGUCGAUACGAGCAAACUAGAGUGUUGCAGGGGAGACUGGAAUUCCUGGUGUAGCGGUGAAAUGCGCAGAUAUCAGGAGGAACACCAAUAGCGAAGGCAGCUCGCUGGGACGUUUACUGACACUGGAGGCGCGAAAGCCGUGGGGGAGCGAAACAGG
rnacentral:rRNA from 1 species